CAGCUCUUCAAGUGGUCGGGAUAAUUAUUGGGCUUAAAGUGUCCGUAGCCGGUUUAGUAAGUUCCUGGUAAAAUCGGGUAGCUUAACUAUCUAUAUGCUAGGAAUACUGCUAUACUAGAGGGCGGGAGAGGUCUGAGGUACUACAGGGGUAGGGGUGAAAUCUUAUAAUCCUUGUAGGACCACCAGUGGCGAAGGCGUCAGACUGGAACGCGCCUGACGGUGAGGGACGAAAGCCAGGGGAGCGAACCGGAUUAGAUACCCGAGUAGUCC
rnacentral:rRNA from 1 species